rnacentral:rRNA from 1 species
CUUUGCAGCCAUAUCACUCUGCAACUCACAACUGGCAGCCCACUAAAGCUCAGCAGGUGUGAGCCUGGUCAGUACCUGGAUGGAAGACCUCAUGGGAAAAACUAAGGUUGCUGCUGAAA